rnacentral:rRNA from 1 species
GUCUACGGCCACGCCACCCUGAACACGCCCCGAUGACUGAUCUCGGAAGCUAAGCAGGAUCGGGCCUGAUUAGUACUUGGAUGGGAGACCACCUAGGAAGACCAGCUGCCGUAGGCA